rnacentral:rRNA from 1 species
UAAUUAUAAAUAUAAAUUUAUGGUAAAAUAAAAUUUAUUCAAAUAAUUAAUUUUCUUAUAAAUAAAUAUUUAAAAAUUUUUAAAAAAACUAGGAUUAGAUACCCUACUAUUAAAAUUUAAUUAAUAUAAUUUAAGUAUUAAAUGAUAAAUCACUAAACUUAAAAAAUUUGACAGUAUUUUACUUAAAUUAGAGGAAUUUAUUUUUUAAUUGAAAAUACACAAUAAAACUUACUUAAAUUACUGUUUAUAUACUUCUGUAUAGAAUUAAUUUUAAUAUUAUAUCAAAAAAUUUUUACAAUAAAAAUUCAAGUCAAAGUAUAACUUAUAUUUAAGAAAAAAAGAAUUACAAUUUUUUAAAAAAUAAGUAAUUAAAUAUAAUUUUAAUUACAAAAAGAAUUUAAAAUUAAAAUAACUACUAAUUUUUUUAUUUGAAAAUUAAUUUAAAAUAUGUACAUAUCGCCCGUCAUUCUCAAAAUUUUGAGACAAGUCGUAACAAAGUAAAUUUACUGGAAAGUAAAUUUAGAAU